rnacentral:tRNA from 1 species
ACUUUUCUGGUGAAAUAUAUCAUGUUAUCUUGAUAAGGUAAAGUUCCAUUAUGGGUGAAGUA